rnacentral:rRNA from 1 species
GAUGAACGCUGGCGGCGUGCCUAAUACAUGCAAGUCGAACGAGGCCCUUUGUAUUCGUACGAAGGUGUCCUAGUGGCGAACGGGUGAGUAACACGUAGGUGACCUGCCCCGAAGCGGGGGACAACUCCGGGAAACUGGAGCUAAUACCCCAUGUUCUCCAUGGUGUUAGAGGACCAUGGAGCAAAGGAGCAAUCCACUUUGGGAGGGGCCUGCGGCCCAUCAGCUAGUUGGUAGGGUAAUGGCCUACCAAGGCUAUGACGGGUUGGGGACCUGAGAGGGUGGUCCCCCACACUGGAACUGAAACACGGACCAGACACCUACGGGUGGCAGCAGUAGGGAAUAUUGCACAAUGGGCGAAAGCCUGAUGCAGCAACGCCGCGUGCGCGAUGAAGGCCUUCGGGUUGUAAAGCGCUUUUCUGGGGGAAGAGGAAGGACGGUACCCCA